rnacentral:rRNA from 1 species
UGGGGAAUUUUGGACAAUGGGCGAAAGCCUGAUCCAGCAAUGCCGCGUGUGUGAAGAAGGCCUUCGGGUUGUAAAGCACUUUUGUCCGGAAAGAAAUCCUUGGCUCUAAUACAGUCGGGGGAUGACGGUACCGGAAGAAUAAGCACCGGCUAACUACGUGCCAGCAGCCGCGGUAAUACGUAGGGUGCAAGCGUUAAUCGGAAUUACUGGGCGUAAAGCGUGCGCAGGCGGUUUGCUAAGACCGAUGUGAAAUCCCCGGGCUCAACCUGGGAACUGCAUUGGUGACUGGCAGGCUAGAGUAUGGCAGAGGGGGGUAGAAUUCCACGUGUAGCAGUGAAAUGCGUAGAGAUGUGGAGGAAUACCGAUGGCGAAGGCAGCCCCCUGGGCCAAUACUGACGCUCGUGCACGAAAGCGUGGGGAGCAAACAGGAUUAGAUACCCUGGUAGUCCACGCCCUAAACGAUGUCAACUAGUUGUUGGGGAUUCAUUCCUUAGUAACGUAGCUAACGCGUGAAGUUGACCGCCUGGGGAGUACGGUCGCAAGAUUAAAACUCAAAGGAAUUGAC